UCCGGCCGCGUCCGGGCCCCAGCGCGGGAGGCUCGGUACCGGACUGCACUACCCAGAGCGGUGUGUGUGUGUGUGUGUGUGUGUGUGUGUGUGUGUGCGCGCGCGUGUGUGAGAAACCCACAGGUACGGAGAAUCACAAGUUCACGCCCUGUCUUGGGCAGCUUAGCAAGAUGCUGCCUCAAAAUUAAAACUGUACAAAAGGGCUGUGCACAGGGGUGUGGGUGUGGGUGGAGAGUGGAUAACAUCGGCCCUUGACCUCUCUUACGGGAUUACCGUCCGGGAAUGACGACUUCCACCCAUGUUCCUAUUACCCUCUGAAAAAUAGAAACUAAAGAUUUCUGGACUUGCAGCUUUCUCCCAGUACAACGGAAAAAUAUGUGGCCCAGUCUCCAGGCCUCUGAUUGGUCCGAGGGCACGUCCCUGAUAGCCGCAGGGCUCCAGAACGGACCGAGGAAGGGCAGGAAUCUUCUGGAAGGCUCACUGUGGAGACUGGGGUGUCAGCCUCCUCGCUGAUCGUAGCCAUGCCAGGGCUCCCUCCCUUCCUCGAAUGGCAGCAGGAGCUCUGCGGACGGAGAAGGGGAGCACGGGUAUUGGAGUGGCGCGGAGGAGAGGCGCCAGCAGACAGACGGCGCACCAAGUUUCAGCCUGCCAGAGUUCAACUCUGUCAACACUAUUCCCAUUUCACUGCUGAAAGUUUUCCCAAAGAUCAUACAGCUGACAGACGGAGGACUAGGGGCUAAACCCAGGCCCUCAGCUUCAG
rnacentral:lncRNA from 1 species